UGGUCGGAAAGAGAUGGAAUGUUCUUAAGGGUUUUAGUCUUCUCUCCUUUAUCCUUUAGUGUUUGGAUGACUGCAGAGCAUAUUUAUGGUUGAUUUGGCAUUCUUGGGAGAGAGGUGUUGUUCAAGCAUGAGGCGAGAUUUUAUUGAGGAAACAAAAGCCCCAUGGAGGUCAAAUUCCAUCAGCAUGAAAAAGGCGACUGCUCCUUAUAAUUUCUGGAAGCUGCGGCCAGCAGUUGGAAAGACAGCGUUAGCAAUAGCAUCACCAAGCCCUGAGAAUGCAGCUGUAAAGGGACUUCGGGAUUCUACAGGACGAAAGCUUCCAUUGGAAGGUGAGGGCACAAUGUCUGCUUCUUUGCAGUGAACCUGAUUUUCCUGAUCUGUACGGGCAGCCUUCCCUUCCUCAAAGGCACUUGGCAGGCUGCAAAGGAAGGAUGGCAUAAAGUCUUUUGUGCCUAGAAGAUGCUCAGUCAUGCCACCAAUAUCUUCUCGUUCUCCUGAAAGUGGAAAUCCUAAACCUACAGAGAAUCAGAGAUGUGGAAAUAAAUUCUGCUCUUAGAGGCCACGUGACUGGUGCCCAGCCACUCAGCUGCCCAGUCUGGAAGGGGAAGAGUCACUCUGCUGCUACCGGCUUAAAGUGUAAACAUGUGCCCACAGUGUUUCUACUGACAGCACCUGAGGUGCUGGGAGAACAGCCUUCGCUUGCAGGAACAGUGGCUCUCCUGGAAAAGCCAGCUUGCUUGGCUGGAGUUGAGCCAGCAGAGCUGGCUCUCGCCCUGGCAAAUUCUCUAUCACUCCAAGGUCCAGGAGACUGGGAAAACUGGCCAGCGUCAGGGGGCCUCCCUCUGUACCAGCCUCCGGGUUCUUGCUCAGGGUGCUGGUUGGUGGCCUAGAAUACAACCGGUUUGAAUUCACCUCUUUCCACUGCCUGCAUUCACAGGACAACUUACCUCUCACCUUACCGUGUUUCUAGAAGAACACAGUUCUGAAUUCAGAAGUUACCAAGGAAUCGGUUUGGACACUAUCCAGUGUUUAUGGGCAUCUUAAAUUCUUUGUUCUCUGUGGCCAAAAUGAAUUGGAAAUUCAAACUGGACUUCAAUCAAAUUUGGCAUAAAGACCAGGACAGCAAACUUGUCCACUCUUUCCACAAAAAGAAGCAACCGCUGCUGGGGUUCAAGGAUCUGAAACCCAGGCACUGCCACCGAGAAUCUGAGGCUAAGAAGAAGUCAGGUGGGUUGGCCAGGGGAUCAGAUAUGCUGAUUGGCUGAAGAGAAUCAAGGACCAUCCCUAGAUCUGGAAGCAGGAUCAUGAUGCCAACCAAACCACAUUUGGAAGUGUUACUUUAUCAGAAGAGUGAAAAAAUGCCAAGUUGCACAAACACCCAACCAGUACAGUCCACCCCCUUUAACUGCCCAAUAUCCACACCCACCUGCAUCCCCAUAAAUACACCUCAAAAAAAUCCCCACUCCCUCUAUGAACUCUUUUUCCAAAAGAGACAAGCCAUGAUUUCAUGUAGUCUGGUUCUCUAGGUGAUUCAUGGUCCUCAUGGAGGGAGCUGCUAUGGUCCUAUGUGGUCCAGUGAGGCUCAGUGGUAAAUUUAAUCACCACUGAUGCAUUUAGUAAACAGCAAUGGAGAACAGGCUAAUUGCACUAAAAACUCUCAUUUGGAAAAGGAAAGGACAGGAUACAACUGUCAAUGGUCACCCUGUCAUAUUCUGCCAGAAAUCACAUGGAUGUCCUUCCUCGAAACAAGUCCCUGUCCUCCCUAGUGCUGUCCUCUGGAAGGCUCCCCUUUGCCCUUUGCCCUCUGUGGCCCUUGCUGUCUCUUUGGGGAAAUCCCUCCUGUGUUAACCUUCACGGACCACGAGACAUGUGCAUCAAGGAUGCUCCUUUUGGGAGCUGCACUGUUCUAUCAGCUCUCUUCCUGCUGCUGUGAGUCUGGGAGCCUGGAAAUCACCAUCGUAGACUGUCGUGGACCAGGCUUGUUCCUCUGGCAAAAUGAUGCCCUUAAAAAGUGAAUGGGAUCCUGCUUUAUCGCUUCUGGCAAAUGCCAUGGAUGGUAACAAGAGUCAGGGAUCUUACCAUGCCAUAGGCUUUCAACUAGAACUGCCUGGGGACAGCUGUGGCCUGGCAAUAGGCCCAGGUGCUCUGGCCAUCCUUUAGUAUCUGUCUUGGCCUCUACUUGAGAAUAAUCUAGAACACCAGGCUAGGUGGGGAUGACCCGGAUGACCCUUUCUUUGCAAUAACAACUAAAAUGUUAGAAGCAACAUUUAUUGAUUGCUUACUAUGGGGCGGCACUGUUCUAAAGGCUGCAUCCUCACUGCAACCCUAUGAGACAGGAACCAUUAUCAUCUCCCCUUUGCAAACACUGGUCAUGGAGCAGUAAAGAAUCUGCUGUCAUGUAGUGGGGCAGCAAAGCAAACCCAGGCAUGCUGGCUCCGUGGUCCCAGUGGAGCACUGACUGCUGUUGUGUUGUUCACUGGCUACUUCCUGUGGCGUCUUCCCAAGGGGCGUGCUGACUUCUUUGAGGCAUCAGGAGGUGCCUGGGAGAGACCCCUCCUGCUUGGUGUCUCUGUCCCUAUUAUGGAGCUUCUUCUAACUGUCUUCUUUCAAGUAACUUUCUUCUGCUAACUUUGGUUUGAGGGUAGAGAAUUGAGAUUUUCCUGGAUUCCCAGAUAAUUGUAACUAUAAACCAUUGGCAAAAAGGCAACUCUUAGCAAAUCUGUAUUUUCUUCCCUUCUCUUACUGUUGGAUGGAAUCGGGUUUAGUUUAAUCGAAUCAUCCUUGGAAGACCUUGCUGAAGAAGUUACCAGCACACUCCAAAACUUGAAAUUUUCUUAUAAUAUCCUUUAAUGUUAAAGCCUCAGGAAGCACACAGUAUGCAUCUCAAGGCUUCAUAGGCAACAGGUUAACCCAUUGCUUACUACAACAUGAAGAAGAAUUACUGAAUUUUCAUACCAAUUCUUUCCUUCACCCAAAUCUCGCUGCUUAGCCUUGUAACAUCCGCUUCUGGUAUUAGAUUAUAUAUCAAUUAGGAAUCUUUUGGUUGCGACUCAAACUAACUUAAGCAGAAAAGAAAUUUAUUGGAAGGCCACUAGGGGCUCAGAGAAUUGACGGGAGACUGGGGGUCAUGGCUGAGAAACAUCAACAGCGACCCCCUUGGGGGAGCCAGCUGGUCCACGCUGCAGCCAGCUAAUCCCUGCUGUUUGCUCUCUGCUCAAGAUCCUGCACCCAGGGAAGGAACAUCAGAUUGGUCAAGCUCAGGUCAUUUGCCCACCUGGGGGUAGAUAGGCCCCAGCAGACUAUGCUUGGCACAGAAGAGAUAAUUCCAGUAAAGGAAACAAGGCUGCUAUUCCGAAAGAGAAGUGGGUGCAGAGCAGUGGAAAUCCAACAAACUCCCCUUCCACCCAGCAACACAGAUCAUUUGGCUGCGUAAGCUGUUAGUGUGCAAUCCAGCAACAUUAUGGCAGCUGGAUCAGGAGGAGAGCAAGCAGGAUAGAGGUCUGCAGGAAGGCACAGCAGUUAGGUGAAUGUUAAGGACGAUGAGCGGUCCAACCAACACCUGUCCUUGGAUAUCACCUUCAGGGAUAGAACUCUACACUGGAUCUGAUUUACUGUGGUAAGACUUAGGCACUUAGGAGUUAAAAUGUAACAAAACAAACAUGUUGCUUUAGUGGAUGUAGUUUUGCCUGUUCACUUUGGGUGUUUGUGUCUAAGGGGUAAGCACAAUACAUUUAUGUAUCAGCAUGGAAUUAUGUUCUCAGAAACCAGUGAUUCUUAUUCAUUCACUGAUUUAACAGAUCACUUAAUGAGUUUGGUCCUGGGCACUAUCCAGGAGCUAAGGAGAUACAAACAUGGAUGGCACAAUCUCUGUUCUCGAGACUGAAUAUCCACACAGUGACAGAAGUCGUAGAAAUACUUGUCUACUUGGAAGGAGUGAUUCAAUGUGAAGGCUCUGAAGUCAGACACAGAAAAGCACAGCAUUGGAUUCAAAUCCUGGCCAUGUGACUUUAGGCAAGUUAUUGACACUCUCCAAACCUCAGAUUUCUUGUCUCUGUAAUGGGGAUAAUAAUAGUUCCUAAUUCAAAGGGUUGUUAUUCUCCUCAAAUUGAUUAAUAGAUUUAAUGUAAUCCCAAACAAAAUCCCAGCAUUUUUAAAAAAACAUGGAAGUUGAAAAGCAGAGUGAAUCUAAAAUAUAUAAGGCAAUAAAAAGGGACAGGGAUGGCCAAGACAAUGUCAAAGAAGAACAGAGCUGGAAGGAUCAUACUGCCUUAUAACAUGACUUACUCUAAGUCUACAGCAUCUAAAAUAGUAUGGUUUGGGCCCAAGGAUAGACAAAUAGACUAAAGGAAUAGUCUAGAAAUAGGCUGACAUGCAUAGGUCAGUUAAUUUAUUAAUUUAUGACAAAGAUAAUAUUCAGAGCAGUGGGGAAAGGAUUUUUUUUUUUUUUUUUUGGUAACAAUAUUUGUUCUUUUGUGUCUUGCUUAUCUCACUUAGCAUAGUGUCUUCAGGAUUCAUGCAGGUUGUGACCUGUGUCAAAAUUUCAUUCCUCUUAGAAGCUGAAUAAUAUUCUGUUGUUUGUAUAUCCCACAUUGUAUUUAUCUGUUCAUCCACUGGUGGGCAUCUGUGUUGCUUCCAGCUUUUGGUCACCCCUGUGAGCAAUGCUGCUUUGCAUUUUAGUGUGCAAAUUUCUGUUCGAGUUCUUGUUUUCAAUUCUUUUGAGUGUAUACUCGGAAGUGAAAUUGCUGGGUCAUUUGCUAUUCCAUGUUGAAUUUUUUGAGGAUCUGCCAUCCACUUUCCACAGUGGCUGUGCCAUUUUACAUUCCCAUGAGCAUUGUAUGAUGUUUCCAAUUUCUCCACAUCCUUGCCAAGACUUAUUUUCUAGUGUUUUGGCUUGUUUUUUUGCUUUUGACUGAUGAUAGCCAUCCUUCUGGGUGUGAUCCAGUUUUUUUUUUUUUAUUUACUUUUUGUACUGCUAAAUGAAUGUCUCACUUUGGCUCAUCAUGGUCACUGGUCACUAUACUAUGAAAUUUAACAACGAGCAUUUAGUGGGUGGUUGUCACAUAAUAGUCACUGAACUGAGUUAUUUACUUUAUUAUUUUAUUCAGUCCCCACAACAAUAAUGUUUUUGGCAAACUUUUAACUGAAAUAUAACAGGCAUACGGAGAAGUGUGCAAAUGGUAGGUAUACACAUUGAUGCAUUUUCACAAAGUGGAUACACCUAUGUGACCAGCACCUAGAUAAAAGGCUAAAACAUUAUCAGCACUCCAGAAAUCUCUUGGUGUCCUCUCCCACUGCUACACAGUCCCUCAUUCCCCCCCAAGCCUCAGUAGAAAGCAGUGAUAACUAUCUUUAAACUCAUAGGUUAGUUUUGCCUGUUUUUGAAUUUUAUAUAAAUGGAAUCUUAAACUACAAAAUCUUCUGCGCGUUGCUUCCCUUACUAAAUAUGUUUAUGAGGUUCAUUCGUGUUUUCACGUGUAAUAAUAGUUCAUUUAUUAGCAUUGCUAAGUAGCAUUUCAUUUUAUGACUGUAGCACAAUUUAUCCAUUCUACUGUUGAGGGAUAUUUAGGCAGUUUCCUGUUUUAGGCUCUUACUAACAGCACUGCUGUGAACAUUCUUUUCGUAAAUAUCUUUUGAUGAAUAUAUGCACACAAUUCUAUUGGGUAUUUACCCAGGCGUGUGAUUGCUAAGUCAUAGGAUGUAUGUCUAUGUAGCCUCAGAGGCUACUUCCAAAGGGAUUGAUAAAUAUACCUACUUCCCACAGGAUAGGAGAGUCCCAACCACUUGCCCACAUUGUUUCUCCUUUUCAUUUUAGCCAUGUGUGGUGAAUAUUAUUAUCCUAAUGCACUCCCCCAGCUCAAUUCAUCUGUUGAAACCUAAUCCUCAAUGUGACGGUAUUCAGAGGUAGAGACUUUACGAGGUGAUGGCAGGUGCCCUUAUAAAAGAGGCCCCAGAUUCGUCCUUUGCCACCAUGGAAGGUUAUAGCUGGAAAGCACAGUCUAUGCACCAGAAAGCGGGUCCUCACCAUACGCCAAAUCUGUGCCUCCAUGGUUGGUCUUCCCAGCCUUCAGAACUGUAAGAAAUGAAUGUCUGCUGUUUAUAAGCCGCUCCACCUAUGGUAUUUGGUUAUAGCAGCACAAAUAGACUGAGGCAGUGUCUGUUCAACGCCUGUGAACACAUAGUGGUAUUGCAUUGCGCUUUUAACUUGCAUUCUUGGUGAACAGUGAAAUUAAGCACUGUUUUCAUAUGUUUAUUGGCUGCUUGGAUAUCUUCUCUGGGGCAGUGUCUGUUCAAAUCUUUUGUCCACUUCUCUAUUGUGUUGCUUUCCUUUUUUCUUAUUAAUUGUGAAAGUUCUUUACUCAGAAAAUGAGUUUCUGUACCAUAUAUUGCAAAUAUCUUUUCUCACAUGCCUUUUCACUGUCUUCAGGGUGUCUUUUGAUGAACAGAAGCUUUAAGUUUUAAUCCAGUCCAGUUUACUGUUUUAUUUUAAUGACUAGUACCUUUUGGUGUCCUGGUUAAGAAUCUGCCAUAUUCCAUCACUUUGGCAUGGCUGGUGGGAAUGCAAGCUGGUGCAGCCACUGUGGAAAACAGUAUGGAGAUUCCUCAAAAAAACUAAAAAUAGAACUACCCUACCACCCAGCAAUUGCACUA